GGCUAGGUAGCUCAGUUGGUACUUGGUAGAGCACCUGGUAUAUAUCCAGUAGGCCUGGGUUCAAACCCCAGUCUGGUCA